rnacentral:rRNA from 1 species
ACUGUGCUGAUGCGGAGGGAUCAUUACCGAGUUUACAACUCCCAAACCCCUGUGAACAUACCACUUGUUGCCUCGGCGGAUCAGCCCGCUCCCGGUAAAACGGGACGGCCCGCCAGAGGACCCCUAAACUCUGUUUCUAUAUGUAACUUCUGAGUAAAACCAUAAAUAAAUCAAAACUUUCAACAACGGAUCUCUUGGUUCUGGCAUCGAUGAAGAACGCAGCAAAAUGCGAUAAGUAAUGUGAAUUGCAGAAUUCAGUGAAUCAUCGAAUCUUUGAACGCACAUUGCGCCUGCCAGUAUUCUGGCGGGCAUGCCUGUUCGAGCGUCAUUUCAACCCUCAAGCACAGCUUGGUGUUGGGACUCGCGUUAAUUCGCGUUCCCCAAAUUGAUUGGCGGUCACGUCGAGCUUCCAUAGCGUAGUAGUAAAACCCUCGUUACUGGUAAUCGUCGCGGCCACGCCGUUAAACCCCAACUUCUGAAUGUUGACCUCGGAUCAGGUAGGAAUACCCGCUGAACUUAUGCAUAUCAAUAAGCGGAGGAA